UGUAGGAAGGUUAGAAAUAUAAUUGAUAUUACUUGAUAAAUUAGUGUUAUUGUAAUAGUAGUUUGUUUUGUAGGAAGGUUUGUCCUUGGGUGCAUGUGCAGUACAACACUGCUUGAGAGCAACAUGCUUCAAAGAAUGUUUUACGAGUUGAGCUUCCAAGCAGCUUCUCUUCCUACAAUAUACACUAUUUAUGGAUUUGUUCUUUCUUAAUCAAUUCAAAAGGGAGGC
rnacentral:lncRNA from 1 species